rnacentral:rRNA from 1 species
AUGAACGCUAGCGACAGGCUUAACACAUGCAAGUCGAGGGGCAGCACAGGUAGCAAUACCGGGUGGCGACCGGCGCACGGGUGAGUAACGCGUAUGCAACUUGCCUAUCAGAGGGGGAUAACCCGGCGAAAGUCGGACUAAUACCGCAUGAAGCAGGGGCCCCGCAUGGGGAUAUUUGCUAAAGAUUCAUCGCUGAUAGAUAGGCAUGCGUUCCAUUAGGCAGUUGGCGGGGUAACGGCCCACCAAACCGACGAUGGAUAGGGGUUCUGAGAGGAAGGUCCCCCACAUUGGUACUGAGACACGGACCAAACUCCUACGGGAGGCAGCAGUGAGGAAUAUUGGUCAAUGGCCGAGAGGCUGAGCCAGCCAAGUCGCGUGAGGGAUGAAGGUUCUAUGGAUCGUAAACCUCUUUUAUAAGGGAAUAAAGUGCGGGACGUGUCCCGUUUUGUAUGUACCUUAUGAAUAAGGAUCGGCUAACUCCGUGCCAGCAGCCGCGGUAAUACGGAGGAUCCGAGCGUUAUCCGGAUUUAUUGGGUUUAAAGGGUGCGUAGGCGGCCUUUUAAGUCAGCGGUGAAAGUCUGUGGCUCAACCAUAGAAUUGCCGUUGAAACUGGGGGGCUUGAGUAUGUUUGAGGCAGGCGGAAUGCGUGGUGUAGCGGUGAAAUGCAUAGAUAUCACGCAGAACCCCGAUUGCGAAGGCAGCCUGCCAAGCCAUUACUGACGCUGAUGCACGAAAGCGUGGGGAUCAAACAGGAUUAGAUACCCUGGUAGUCCACGCAGUAAACGAUGAUCACUAGCUGUUUGCGAUACACUGUAAGCGGCACAGCGAAAGCGUUAAGUGAUCCACCUGGGGAGUACGCCGGCAACGGUGAAACUCAAAGGAAUUGACGGGGGCCCGCACAAGCGGAGGAACAUGUGGUUUAAUUCGAUGAUACGCGAGGAACCUUACCCGGGUUUGAACGCAUUCGGACCGAGGUGGAAACACCUUUUCUAGCAAUAGCCGUUUGCGAGGUGCUGCAUGGUUGUCGUCAGCUCGUGCCGUGAGGUGUCGGCUUAAGUGCCAUAACGAGCGCAACCCUUGCCACUAGUUACUAACAGGUUAGGCUGAGGACUCUGGUGGGACUGCCAGCGUAAGCUGCGAGGAAGGCGGGGAUGACGUCAAAUCAGCACGGCCCUUACAUCCGGGGCGACACACGUGUUACAAUGGCGUGGACAAAGGGAUGCCACCUGGCGACAGGGAGCGAAUCCCCAAACCACGUCUCAGUUCGGAUCGGAGUCUGCAACCCGACUCCGUGAAGCUGGAUUCGCUAGUAAUCGCGCAUCAGCCAUGGCGCGGUGAAUACGUUCCCGGGCCUUGUACACACCGCCCGUCAAGCCAUGGGAGCCGGGGGUACCUGAAGUCCGUAACCGAAAGGAUCGGCCUAGGGUAAAACUGGUGACUGGGGCU